CUUGCUGAUUACUAUUUAUCUAUAGCGUGUUGCUUCGCUUGUAUCACUGUUCAUUCAAUUCAUAUGCUGUUAUUUUUACUGUAUUUUAGUAUAGAGUCUUUCUCUGACCUUUUCCUUAUUUAUUUUUUUGCUAAAUUGACAACAAAAAAUUGAGGGACAGUUAAUAUUUUAUAUUUUUGUAGGUUAUUAUAUGAUGGAUAAAAGUUGGAUACUUCUUAGGAAUAGGGCAUUACCAGAAUACUUGAAUGGCGUGGAACAAUUUUUAAACUUUGCAUUUUCGAAUCCUAAUAUUAGUUUAAGAAUUCAAUGUCUGUGCACUAACUGUAACCAUGUGCGUAGGAAAAUACGAGAAGAAGUGAAAAUAGAUUUACUUAGGUGGGGUAUAGAUCCAACAUAUAAUAGGUGGAUUCAUCAUGGUGAGUCAGAUUUAUCUUCAGAUGAUGAAAUAAAUUCUAGUGCAAAUUCAGAUUUAGGAAAUGAUGAUGAUGCCACUUUCGAGAUGUUGCAUGACAUGUAUCACGGUGUUCCUAUAGAUAAUAUAAUUCAUGAUCCGUCUGAUAAGUCGGCUGAGUCUAGAUAUAAAGAACCUAAUGCAGAAGCUAAGAGUUUUUAUCGGCUGUUAAAGGAUGCAGAGCAGAAGUUAUAUCCAGAUUGUGAAAAGUUCUCGAAGCUCUCUUUUGUAAUGCGUCUUUUUCAAAUGAAGUGUUUGCAUGGUUGGAGUAAUACUUCAUUAGACUCUUUGUUAAAACUAUUAAGUGAUGCCUUUCCUAAAAGACGUGCUCCCUAAUUCUAUUUAUGAAGUUCAAAAGAUUAUUAAAGAUUUGGGUCUGGAUUAUGUGAAAAUAGAUGCUUUUGUUAAUAAUUGCAUCUUAUAUAGAAAGGAAUAUGCGGAUCUUGAGCAAUGUCCUAAAUGUGGUCAGAAAAGAUGGAUAGUACGGAAAGGAGGAGAAGAUGGCAAUGAGGUUGCUUCAAGUAAAUUGAAUAAGAUAAAGAAAGGAAUUCCUAGAAAAAUUCUCAGAUACUUUCCUUUGAUCCCAAGAUUACAACGAUUGUUUAUGACUAAACGAACCGCAGAAGAUAUGAGGUGGCAUAAAGAUAAGCGAGUUGAUGAUGGAGUAUAAGGCAUCCAGCUGACUCACUGACAUGGAAAACUUUUGAUGAGAACCAUUUGGAUUUUGCAUCAGAUCCACGUAAUGCAAGACUUGGACUUGCUUCAGAUGGUUUUAAUCCUUUUGGUUCCAUGAGUAAUGCCUAUAGUAUGUGGCCAGUAUUCUUGAUUCCGUAUAAUCUUCCCCCAUGGCUAUGCAUGAAACAGUCUAAUAUUUUAUUAUCGUUGCUUAUUCCUGGCCCAAAAAGCCCUGGUAUGAAUAUAGAUGUGUAUCUCCAACCUUUGGUUGAUGAUUUGAAAAAAUUAUGGGAGGAUGGAAUUGAGACUUAUGAUGCUUUUAAGCAACAAAAUUUUCAAUUACGUGCUUCUUUGUUGUGGAUAAUUAAUGACUUUCCAGCAUAUGCCAUGUUGUCCAGUUGGAGCACAAAAGGUAAAUUUGCUUGUCCAGUUUGUCAUGUAAAUACUUGCUCCAUUUACUUGAAAUAUGGUCGAAAGCAUUGCUAUAUGGGAAAUAAAUCAUCCUUAUCGUCGGACCAAAAGUUAUUUUGAUAACACAAGGGAAGAAAGACCUGCACCACAAGCAUUGAGUGGAUAUGAUGUGCUUGCACAACUAAAUACAUCCUUACAAGGAUCCAUGGGUGACAACACAAGAAAUAGAAAACGAGAUACGGAAAGACCUGACAACUGGAAGAAGAAAAGUAUAUUCUUUGAACUCCCAUAUUGGAGGACUGUAUUGUUGAGACAUAAUUUGGAUGUAAUGCAUAUAGAAAAAAAUAUUAGUGAAAGCGUGAUAGGAAUGUUGUUGGAUAUUGACGGAAAAACAAAGGACACAUUGAAAUCUCGAUUGGACAUACAAGAGAUUAGAAUCGAAAAGCCUCUUCAUCCAAUAAAAAGUGGGGAUAAGUACAUACUUCCUCCUGUUAGUUAUGCAAUGUCCAAAACUAAGAAGAUUAAAUUCUGUCAACUCAUCAAAGAUGUCAAGUUUCCUGAUGCUUAUGCUUCUAACAUUAGUCGUUGUGUCAAUGUUAAGGAAGCUAGACAUUUUGGACUCAAAAGUCACGAUCACCAUGUUGUUUUCCAACGUAUCUUUCCACUUAUCAUCAAAGGGAUUUUGCCAAAGGAUGCAUAUGAUCCGUUAAUUGAAUUGUCAUUAUUCUUUGGUAAUUUGUGUGCUAAAGAGUUGCAUAUGGAUAAGUUAGAUAAAAUAGAUAAAAGUAUACGGGUGAUAAUAUGCAAACUAGAACAUAUAUUCCUACCAUCAUUCUUUGAUGUUAUAGUUCAUUUGGCAAUCCAUUUAGCAAAGGAGGCAAAGGAGGGUAGUCCUGUUCAAUUUCGAUGGAUGUAUUUCAUCGAGAGAAUGUUGCGCACAUUAAAAGGUUAUGUACGCAACAUGGCUCGCCCAGAAGGGUCAAUUGCUGGGGCUAUCUUGCAGAGGAAUGCAUGGCAUUCUGUUCCAAAUAUUUGACUGAUAUGGAGACAAAGAAAAAUCGCCCAGAUAGGAAUUCUAAUUAUUCCAACAUGGAUCCUAAUGGCUUGUCUGUAUUCAACUGUCGUGGUAAGCCAUUUGGAGGGGGUGAUUGGACAAAAUUGAAUGUAUCUUGAAAUCAAGCAAGCGCAUUUUUACAUCCUCCAAAAUUGUGCAGAAAGUGGCUCUUUUAUCGAGAAACAUUUAGAAAUAUUAACAAAGGAGAAUAACAGAAAUGUUGCCAAGAGGCACAAGGAGAAAUUUCCUUUAUGGUUUCAGAAAAAGACUAUCAUGAUGACAAAUGCACAUGUUUUUGCUAGUGUUGAAUCUGCUGGAGUAAUUUCAAACCCACAGCCACGUGAGUUGAUUCAUUUAGUAAAAAGUAGCUUUGAGAACUAUCAUGCUUGUAUAACUUAGUAGAAACCGACUUUCUAUGCCUUCAAAUUUGGUAAUAAAUUCUUAUAAAGAGUAAGAUUUAAUUAUUUGAGUAAUUGAUUUAUUUUUAGUCACUUUGAGUGAAGUAUGAUAAUAAUAUAUACUUUAAAUCAUAAGCUUUUUUGAACUACUAAUCUUUUAAAUUUUCUCAUGCAUUUCAAGUAGAAGAUACAAUAGGUUGUUAGUUGCUAUUUAUUGUAUAAAUAUUUAUUUUGUAGAGGAAAAGAAAUUGUUCUCCAUCUAUUUGUGGAUUAGAGAUCACAUCUUUAUAUUAUUUGUAAAUUUUAAUUACUUUGGAAGUUGAAGUUUGUAAGGACUUCAUAUGAAAAUACUAUGCCUAAGGUCGAUACAUUUAUUUCCUUUCUGUAGAGUAUUUUUCUCAGUGAUGAAUUGAUAUUGAAAUUUUCUGGAGUCUUUUAUUUUAAUAUUCUUAUGUAUUGUUGAAGGACAAAUGAGAAAAGGAAGGGGGAAGACUAGAGGGUUUUCAAUCCAAAAGAAACGCAAAAAUAAUCCCAAUGGAAAACUGGAGGUGAUUAUCCCACCCGAUCGAACAGUAGCAGUUGGUCCUGGAGCUAAUAAUUUUGUUACCGAGCUUUUAGUUACAGUUGACCAGAAUGCUAAGCAUGAUGUCAAAACUUGGAAGAAAGUUUCUGAUCUAGCAAAAGAAAGGAUUGUUGAUCAUAUGCUAGUAAUUCUCUUUGUAUAUCUUAAGUUCAUAGUUUUUUGUUCUUGAAUGAGUAGUAUUCAACCAAAUGGCAUAUUUAGUAACAUUUGCCCAUUAUAGUAGUAGUAUGUCUAAAGAACAGUAGGCAUAUUUUAAUCUAAUGGUUCCAGCUUUGAAAUCCUUUA